AGUGCCUCUGCGAGGAGGAGACAUCCUGCCCCGGGAUUAGCAGAGGGAUCUGCAAACACAACUGCUAUGCCCUCGGACACAGAAAACCCCACUGGGGCGCUGCUUGUCUCCAAGCACGAUCUCAGCCCAAAAUAGGUCACUCAUGAAUGUGUUAAAAAAAAUGUGACCAACGCAAGGAUCUCUUUUCACUGCAAAAACUGACUGCUGACUCCUACACUCUCCUUCCUGUUUUUAUACUAAUUAUGGAGCCAAAUGCUCUGAGGAGCCCCUCAAAGGAAGGUGGAAGAAGCCGCUCAUGCUCUUGUAGAGCUAACAGAGAGGAACUCCUCUCCCCAAGGAAAGUCUGAGCCCUCACUCACCUGUCCCCAAAACAGGGAUGCUUCUAGAAGAGCAGGCAAAGCCAGCAGCCAACCAGCAGUGAGAGCACCUGCCUGCAGCAACCCCCUGCCCACUGCCACCUCCUGCAUCCCACAGCACUCCACCUCCCAGGAGAGGGUCUGCCCUCCUUCCUCUAUGAAGCCAGAUUCAAAGGUGCAGAGCUGGCAGGAUCCUCAGCAUGCAAGAGCUGCCCAAACCCAGUGGGAGCUGCUGAACUGCUGUCCCUCAAGAAGGUGGGAGAGCAUCCCCAGGGCUGGACAAAGUGAGCCUUGCUUUGCACCUGGACAGCUCAGCAGAAGGCUGCAAGUCCUGUUUCGGAUACUUGCCCAGGAGCAGAGAUCAUUUUGCUCCCCCUCAGCAGAUUUUUGGAGGCUGGUCUGGGCUGCACAGCUGUUUCUAAUUUAGUGGAGGACAGAGAAAUGAAACCAGAGCCAGAACAACACAAUCUUCCCUUGGUGUCACCAUCUCCCCAGCUUCCAAAAUUCGGAGAGGAAAUUCCUCCCCAGUGAGCAGCAGCCCCCUUGGCAGAGGAUGGGACAGACAUGCAGGAGCCAACCACCACUGGCCUGUGGUGAGUCGAGGUUUACUCUGUCCUCUGCAUGUCCCAGUGGCCAGGACAGAAAUACAUGGGCUAUUUUGGGUCCCCACAGACCAAAGGGGCCUUUCACUUGUAGGCCAGCUCAGAAUAGGGACUUGGCUGACCACUGAUUUGGCAUUAAAUGUCUCAGCCCUACUGAGAAAGGGGAUGGUGAGCACAGAAGCAGGUUUUGGAAUCCUGUCAGGGUCCUGUGCGGUCUGUUUGUCAGCCACCUGUCCUGCCAAGGUCCUGCUCACUGCCUGGACAGCCACAGCAUCUUGCAAAUCCCAAACCAGUUUGAGAUGCUAAAUACAGCACAUUUCACAGUGGCUCUACUCCAAGAGACAGAGAGUGUCUAUCACCCCCUCACCUCAAAACCCCACUUUGUCCCAGCCAACGGGCAGCCCACAAUGCCCAGAAACAAAAGGAAGGAGAAGGGAUGGAUGCCCUGCCUGAGUCUGCUAGUGCCAAAUCCAUUCACUUCCAAAGCUGCAGCCAUUUCCAAAGAGUGGGGUAAAGCCAUCUCCAUGAGACCCAGGAGCUGAAGGGACUCGAGGAGCCUGCACAUUUCCCAGCAGGGUAGAUGCUGCCUGCCGAGACCUGGGUUUGCCACAUCCCUGCUCUGUGGCAGACACAGAAGAGCUGUGUGGGCAGCACACAAUCUGUGGAUGCAGAAGUGGAAAGCCAAGGAGGCAGCGUGCUGUCAGCGAUGUGGUGCAAGCAACGGAGCUGGAGCAAACACCCAGGGCAGAAGCACCCUCUUCCCUGAAUAACUCAGCUUCCCCAAACAGCCUGGCGGGAUUGAGGUCUUACAUGAAGAGCCAAAGCAAGACUUGAGGCAGACACCUCCUUCGGAACAAGUAAGUCAGAACCCAAACCUCCCACUCUUGGCAAUGGCCUUGGCUCAACAGCGGCAAACAGGAAAAUCUUUAUGCAAGUAGGAUCAGGCAGGGAGACCAAACAGGAGGUGGGACCGCUGUGUCUGCCCAAAUGCCAUCAAAACAGAAUCUCACAUGCAACCAACAAUAGUAAUCCCAGCCACAAGUUGGGAAAGAGCAAGUCACAUCCCCUCCAAAUCCCAGCCUGUGCCGCUACAUCCGUGCAAACAGCCACCGCCCAGUGUGCCACAGCCACGGUAUUGCAUCCUCAGGGAAGCACAGAAAACUCUGGAUGAGAGCCAUCGAGUACUCUGCUCCUGUGGAAAUGGCACUUUGCAGCCACUGGCAGCCAAUGGCACUCCAGCAGCCUCUCAGCCUCCCCAGAUUAAUGUGGGGAGCAGAGGAGAUGAAGACGCCUCUAAACACCCUGCUGGGAGACCCAAGGUGACAGCAGCCUCCACCGAGGUGAGCUGGCCAUCUGGCCAGGUGUCUGUCAGGGCUUGCCUGGGUGGAUGCUGAUGUACUUCCACAGUGAUGCCAGGUGACAGGGAGCCCAGGGCCUGAGCCUUGCUGAAGCAGUCCCUUCUGGCACACUGUGUGCUCUCCCUUCACAGCCACAGGGAAGGAAGGGAGGGACAGCAGACUUGUGUGUUGAGUAUCAAAUGCCAGGCUAUUUACUGAUGCUGGGUUUUAUUUCUGGUCAAAGGCUUCACUUUUGGAGCAAGUCCAGCUGCAGAGCCCAGGCAGAAGGAGCACAGUGCUCCUCAGCACCUUCCUCAUCCCCCUGCAAGGCACGGAUUCUGACCCCCAUCACAUGGGCACCCCACAGCCGCUGCCUCCAGCCCUAUUCAGGAACACGCUGGCAGAUCAGUGUCCUGAUGUGGUUCACCAGGCACGCAGACACACCAGCCUUGUGUUGCCACGAGGAGUGGGUGUGAAGAUGGGAAGGAGAAGCUGCAGGGUAGGGUGGAUCACUUCAUAACAGCUCGGCUGUGUUGCCGUUGGUCUCUCUCCUCCUGUGGUUAAUGGAUAACACUCCUGCUUUGCCAGGACGACAUGAAGACCCACCCAGCCCUGCCAUCUUCAGCCACAGCCCAACGCCUACAAACCCUGAUGGGAUGAAAGCACCAUGCACUGUGUGCAUCCUGCAGCACUGGGCUCCCUGUGGGGGCUGAAGUCCAGUCCAGAGCAAAUACCAUAAGGGAGCUGAGGGUACAGCACUGAGAGAGGACAGAAAAAUGGAAUUGCCUCCAACUUGGUCCUGAGGCCAGGAAAUGACAACGCCUGUCAUGGACAGAGCAGGCAAGGCAGAUGAAGCUGGCAUCUCCUUCAACUCUGAGCACUGGGCAGAACUGAGAAGCCAGAUCUGUCACCAGGCCCUCCUGCCUCCCUGGCUUUUCUCCAGAGGUUAUGCCCAGGCUUAAAACAGGGGAGUUUCUCUCCCAAGAGUUUACCAUGACCACGAACAAAAGCUAUAACAAAACUCCAAAGCCCUUGCAGGCUCGAGCCAGGUGAACAGGCCCUCAGCUGCAGGUGUAAACUGUGUCUGUGGUUGGAUGUGCUGGCCAAAAUGAACCAGGCAGCGAUAAGGACCAUCUUUGGAGCCACACCUUGGGCAGCAGAGGAGACACCAAGCAUGGCAACCCAGGCAGGACGCCCUUCUCCCCAUCAGUUUUGCAGGAGACUGGAGCCAGUUCAAUGUCUGGAGACACAGAGACACAUUCAGGUUGAUAGCUUGCCCUUGGCACAGCACGACUGAUGACACAGUCCUGCUGCCGUGACUGAGCCUCGAUACAGGGCCAGAGCAGGCUGCUUGGCGGGGGGAAAGCUAAUGGCAUAACCCUCCAGUCCCACUGCUGCUGCCCACCCAGUCACAGCCCUUCCAGCCCUGCUCUUCACCUCCAGCCCCUGCCUGCCUCCUCCCUCUGCAGCUUCCUGCUCUGGUCACUCGAAUUUCCAGCUGGAAAUUUCACAGCGAGGUGCCUUCCUAUCCAACUAGUCCUAAAGGAAAUGAACUAAAGCAAGCCUGAGUGGCAGUCCUGUGGUGGGAAGAAGCAAGAAGGCUCUGUGGAAAUCUGCCUGACUUCCUGCUGACAGCUUCUGCACGAGCCACCAGGCAGGCAAUAGGUCUCUGCUCCCUUUUGACCCCAAGGAAAGUCGGUUUCCUGGAGAUGAAGCCUGACUGUGCUCACCCACGGCUUAACCAAGAGGCUGAAAGACAGCCUUGAGCACUGCACCCAGACUGCCAGGGUCACCAAUUUGUGUCACAGUUAGUGCAUGACAGACACACACGCGGAGCUUUGAGCCUCCCUUUUCUCACGGACUGGCGUGACCAGGAAAAAGCCUGCUCCAAGCCAGAGCAGGACCAAAAGGUCACAACAGUGAUGUUUUUCACACCAUUGCCAUUAGCAAUUAUUACAAUUAUUAAAUAUUAGCCUUAUUCCUACACAACAGCUUCCCUUGUCUCAUAGGAACAGCUAUCCUCAGACACAUUCCUCAUGCAGCAUCGCAGCUCCUCUCCCACAUGGGGACCCCAGAGCCCAUGUACAGCCCUCCCCAGCUAGGUCCACGGAAUCUGGAGGGAGAUGGGGUUCAGUACUGUGCUGCAGCCUCAGCUGGGGCACUGAGACCCUCCAGACCACACAUCCUGACGUAACCAAACCCACCCAGAUACUGCCCCGACUCUGCACAUUCCUUUCCCCCUCCCUCAUCUUGCACACUCUUCACCUAAGAAGCACUUAGUCUUUAUAGCACUGGUCAGCCAAAUCAAAAUAGCUGUGUGGCUGGUGAAACCCUGCCUCCUGACCAGCUGCAAAUACGUGUAGCUCAUUUUGCGUAGUGCUUUGGGCCUCAGCUUGUUGGCAGCUGAGUGCGAGUUAGCGUGGAGAUGAGACUCUGAGAGCUGGCAGUCCUGCAGCCCCAAGCAGCGCAGUGCUGGGCUGGCAGGGGUCUCAGGACAGAGCUUGGUGUUGGGAAGGCUCAGGAAGGCACAGGGAGGUAAGCAAGGUUACACUGCUUACUACAAGGGAGCUGGCAAGGACCACAAGCAAACAGAAUUCCGUGGAUAAGUGCGGGCAUUGCAGCUUCCGUGACACUUGCCAAGGGCCUGGACGUUACACGGAACAACAACAACCAAGAUCUACAUGUGUCCCAUGGAAACCUCCAGAAGUUGUUUGCUGGCUUCCUAAAGCCAGUGGCUGGUGCCUUCCCAUUCGGACAAGGCACACAGGGGGACCUGGGCUCUCUCUAUCCCAGUGGGCUGGUCCCUAAGCCCUGCCUCUGCCAGGAGAACUGGGAAUGAAGCUGUGCAGCACGGGAGUGGGUGAACGGGUGCCUUGUCCUCCACACCCUGGCUUACCCCCAUUGCACAGCAAGGAAUAAGACAGGUCAGGCCAGGGCAACAACAAAGCCCAUGGCUCAUCUUCAAAGAGGAGGAGGCUCAUUAACACCUCCCAGCCCAAGAUAAUGAGAGCAGGGAUGCCAUGCUGGGGAAUUGAUGCCAGUAGUUAAUUAUGCAGCUUGGCAAGGAAUGGAGAAGAGGGACAACUGCAGGAUGGAAGUGCCGUACUGUCGUGACCUGGUGACACACCUGCUGAUUUAAGCUGAAGUGAAUUUCUUCAGCCUUGUCACUCCAGGUAUCUGGUACAGCCUCCACCUCUUGUCUGCACUAGAUGUGGAGGGACGAGUCAUCCUGCAAAGCAUCCUCUGGGGUUGAUGUUACAGCCCUUAUUGCCAAAAAAAAGUGCCUUUGCUCUAUGAAAAUCUUUUUAGUGAGCCAAGAGCAAACCUACCUGUCUUUUCCAGGAGCAGAAAACAAUGGCAGGAGCGCUUUGAAGGGCAUAUGUGUGGUGUCCGCACUGGACUGACACUGUCAAUGACCCAUGAGCCGCAUGAAGACAAUCAGUGAACCCAAGGGAAAAGCAUCCCUGCACAGUCACAUCCUGAGAUAGCUUUGUGGAGAAGGCAGGCUCAAGGGAGCCUGAGGCUGUCCAGCAGCUUGCAGGUGCUGGUGAAUGGGAACAACGCCACUGAGCUGGGAUGCAGUGCAGAAGGAGAGUGGGAUUUCCCAUGUCGGCACUCACAGAAGUCCCUCAACUGUGUCUGCUCACAACAGGCAACUGAGGGGCCUGCUUUCUGUUUCAGAGCAGCCGGGAAGUGCAUCCAGCUGUGGCCAACAGCUGCACAAAUUCCCCCUGCAGCCCCUAGCCCUGGGAUCAAGGGCACAGGCUUUACUUGUCUGUGAUCCCACAGCUCAAGGGCUUAGCCACUGUUGCCUUCCCACACAGUCUGCAAUUCCGCAGCCCAUUCCCGAGAGGGAGAUGCGAGCGCUGGUGAGUACAGGCAGGGACUGUGUUGGUCUGGCAGUAUUAGCAUCUAGCAGGGCUGUGAGGCUCAGGUUUAACUACAGGGGUGAGGAGGACAGCACAAAAGGGCUCUACAGGAGCUCUUGGCACUUCUGCGUGAACCAGGCUCUCCAUUAACGCUGACGGUUUAGUCAGGAAUGGAAAGAAACGCUCACUGAAAUCAUCCACAACAUCCCACAGCCAACUGGGAGCACUUCCUUGAGCAGGACCUGGAGCAACCCCGAGCCAGCAGUUGUUCUGCCAGCCGAGGGGGCUGUGCCCCGCUUGUCGCAGAGCAGCUCACGGCACCCUGCCCACGCACCUGCCAGCACUCCCGGGCCGAGGCGUGCUGGCAGACACCGCCGCGCACACGUGCAGCGCCGGCAGGGAUGCGCACCUCUGCAGCCGGAGCGCGGCACACGCCCCUCGGGGAACUCCUGCAUCUCAGGCAUCGGAUCAGCGCUGCGCUUUGCAUCCCCAGAGCGGCUCCGCUUCGCAUCCCCGAAACCACAUCCUCUCACCCCGGCAGUAACUACGAAAGGGGAUUCGUGGUUGCAGUGCAAGGUAGCAAGGAAGACCCUGCCCCGAAAAGCAGCAUUUAUGCAUCGCACAACCCCCGCCCGGUCCCGCAAGCCGCGACUCGCCCGCCGCCGCUCCCCACGCUGCGGCGCCGAAUCCUGAGCUUGGGGUAUCCCCCGGCUCGCUGCGAGGGCUCCCCACGCACCCGGCAGCUUCGGAACGCCGCGCCGAGCCUCGGCGGGAGCCGGGGCGCCCCAAAGCUCGGCGACUUUG